AGAGAACCAGAGAUGGUCGUACCCACAGGAGAGUUUCAUCAAGAUCAACUUUGAUGGUGCCUACGAUAAAAGGCAGAAUCGGUCGGCUUCGGGUAUUGUGGCCAGAGAUUCGGAAGGAAAUAUCCUCUUCUCAUGUUCAGAGAUUCAUUCUAAUAUCUCAUCGGCCUUUACUGCUGAAGCAAUAGCCUGCUGGAGAGCAGUCCAAAUAGGAACCGGGAAGGGAUGGCAGUUUCUGAUUCUUGAAGGAGAUUCCCUCGCAAUCAUCAAAAAUGCAAUUCAAAGGGUCAAGACAGAUCGAUGGUAGGGGCAUACAUUUAUGACAUUCAACAGAAAAUAUAUGGAUUUGAUAAUAUCAGAUUUCAAAAUACACCUAGAUCUGCAAAUAAUCUUACACAUAUCUUAGCAACAGAAACGUUAAAAAGAGGAGAAGAGAUUUACCUGGAUAGGGGAGUUCCUGAGUAUGCUAUGGAUCAAGCUCGGUACGAUGGGAGAAGAGGACCAGAUUAGAAGUUUUCAGGAGAGGAAGAGUGGAGAAAGGAAGCCUCAGAACAGUAAAGGAAACGGAUCGAUUUUCUUGGCAUAUUUUGAAAAUGGAAUCAUCAAAAAUGAAUUGAAAUGACAGAAAGACUGGAAGACAAUUUCCAAACAACUUCUGAUUGGGCAACG
rnacentral:lncRNA from 1 species